UUGGGGGUGAGGUAGAAGAGUUCCUCAGUUAGUUGCCCUGUGUUAAGCCCGUACCAUCUUGCCAGACACUUGUCACUCAUUUCACCAUCACCACAACCCAAGAACUUUAUAAUAUUUCUAUUUUAUGGGUGAGAAGCUUAAGGCUCAUGAAAGUAGGUUUCUUGCCUAUAUCACAUAAUGAGGAAGUGACGGGCUAAGAGGACGAGCCCAAGACUGUAAGACUCAGCCUUUUCCCCGUAUCCUGCCUCACAAUGUAGUUUAUCUUUUAGGUUUUGUUUUGAAGUCUCGCUCUGUCACCCAGAAUCAAAGUUGCUGCUAGCAGGAAGAGUCCUUAGAAGAGUUUCUAAAAACGGAUCUCAGAUCCCAUAGCAUAUACUGUACUGACUGAGCUAUGACAACUCAUCAUAUUCCACAUACCUGCUACCACAGGUGAGAUCCAUGUCCCGAAGCUUAGAGAGAAGCCUCUCUAAGGAACUAGAGGCAUAAAACUGCCAACCACACCUACCCCCACCAUCUCUCGGUGGGCGAAGGGAAAAUGGUAUCUUUAAUACCAAAAAGAUAAUUUAAAGGCUUUAGAUCAGGGGUAAACUUUAUUCAUAAAGGGCCAGAGUAAAUCUUUGAGGCUUUAUGAACCACAUAUGGUUGAAAACAUUGUUGGCCUCCUGGCACAGAAACAGAAAACUGCUGUGGAGGCUAAGAGAUCACCUCAUCCGUUUUAUAGCUGAUAUCCCCUCAGGCUAAGGCCUGCCUUAGGAGGAAAGGCAGUAGAGCAAGCUUGUCCAACCGCAGUCCUGGGCAGCAAGCAGCCCAGGAUGGCUUUGAAUCCGACCCAACAAAAAUUUGUAAACUUUCUAAAACGCUGAGGGUUUUUUUUGCCAUUUUUUAAAGCUUAUCAGCUAUUGUAAUGUUAGCGUAUUUUAUGUGUGGCCCAGGGAAGCUAAAAGAUUGGACACCCCUGCAAUAGAGCAUAGUUUUAAGAGCAUCACUUUAGUGCAAGACUCCACCAUUCACUGCUGUAUAAUUUCUGGCAAAUUACUUAAUCUCUCUGUGCCCAUUUCCUCAUCUGCCAAAUGAGGAUACGUUAAAGGUGCUUGUGAGGUUUAACAGUUCAUUUGUGUAGCUAAGAAGAGUAUUUGAGGCCCAGAGCACCAUGGCUUACGCCUGUAAUCCCAGCACUUUGG
rnacentral:lncRNA from 10 species